ensembl:misc_RNA 7SK 7SK RNA
AGAUAUGAUGAUGCUGUGUCUUACAUAUGUCAUCCCACGGAGCACUGGGGUUGGCUUGCCAGGCUGACUGGCUACGUGGCUGUUCUCUUCCUCCCUUACUGCUCCAUGAAGGCCUUUCUAGAAGCCACUCAGUCAAUUAAGGCAGACAACCUUUCCUAGAAUAGCAGGGCCUUCUCUUGUUCAAGGACAUACAGUAACUGUGCUCCUUGAUAUGUCCUUCCAAACAAGCUUUCAAGGAAAUUAAAGUAUCUACAUAUAGACUUGAACAAGUCACUUGCAGGAUUUUGGAUAAUUUUAUUCAGU